rnacentral:rRNA from 1 species
UGAGGAAUAUUGGUCAAUGGGCGCAAGCCUGAACCAGCCAUCCCGCGUGCAGGAAGACGGCCCUAUGGGUUGUAAACUGCUUUUCCAGGGGGAGAAUUUUUCUGUCGUGACAGGAAUUGACGGUACCCUGGGAAUAAGCAUCGGCUAACUCCGUGCCAGCAGCCGCGGUAAUACGGAGGAUGCGAGCGUUAUCCGGAUUUAUUGGGUUUAAAGGGUGCGUAGGCGGAUUGAUAAGUCAGUGGUGAAAACCUGCAGCUUAACUGUAGACUUGCCGUUGAUACUGUCAGUCUUGAGUGUGGUCAAGGUAGGCGGAAUGUGUAAUGUAGCGGUGAAAUGCUUAGAUAUUACACAGAACACCGAUCGCGAAGGCAGCUUACCAAGCAACAACUGACGCUCAUG